CUGAUGGAGCAACGCCGCGUGAGUGAAGAAGGGUUUCGGCUCGUAAAACUCUGUUGUUAAAGAAGAACAUAUCUGAGAGUAACUGUUCAGGUAUUGACGGUAUUUAACCAGAAAGCCACGGCUAACUACGUGCCAGCAGCCGCGGUAAUACGUAGGUGGCAAGCGUUGUCCGGAUUUAUUGGGCGUAAAGCGAGCGCAGGCGGUUUUUUAAGUCUGAUGUGAAAGCCUUCGGCUCAACCGAAGAAGUGCAUCGGAAACUGGGAAACUUGAGUGCAGAAGAGGACAGUGGAACUCCAUGUGUAGCGGUGAAAUGCGUAGAUAUAUGGAAGAACACCAGUGGCGAAGGCGGCUGUCUGGUCUGUAACUGACGCUGAGGCUCGAAAGUAUGGGUAGCAAACAGGAUUAGAUACCCUGGUAGUCCAUACCGUAAACGAUGAAUGCUAAGUGUUGGAGGGUUUCCGCCCUUCAGUGCUGCAGCUAACGCAUUAAGCAUUCCGCCUGGGGAGUACGGCCGCAAGGCUGAAACUCAAAGGAAUUGACGGGGGCCCGCACAAGCGGUGGAGCAUGUGGUUUAAUUCGAAGCUACGCGAAGAACCUUACCAGGUCUUGACAUACUAUGCAAAUCUAAGAGAUUAGACGUUCCCUUCGGGGACAUGGAUACAGGUGGUGCAUGGUUGUCGUCAGCUCGUGUCGUGAGAUGUUGGGUUAAGUCCCGCAACGAGCGCAACCCUUAUUAUCAGUUGCCAGCAUUAAGUUGGGCACUCUGGUGAGACUGCCGGUGACAAACCGGAGGAAGGUGGGGAUGACGUCAAAUCAUCAUGCCCCUUAUGACCUGGGCUACACACGUGCUACAAUGGAUGGUACAACGAGUUGCGAACUCGCGAGAGUAAGCUAAUCUCUUAAAGCCAUUCUCAGUUCGGAUUGUAGGCUGCAACUCGCCUACAUGAAGUCGGAAUCGCUA
rnacentral:rRNA from 2 species